rnacentral:lncRNA from 1 species
GCCAGUCUUCGGAAAACAAAUGGUAACAUUUCUGAUAUCCCAUCACCCCAGUGCUCUUGAGCCCCUCUGAAGCGACUGGUUCAGCCUUUCCUCUUGUCUGCCGUUUCAUCUGUUUCGCUUGUGUCGGCAUGCCUUUCUCUUGCACGUCCUGUCUACGAGCUCCACCUCAAUGUUUUGCGUGGGACUUGUCCCACGUUCCUUCUGUCCAUUUCUGUUUGCCUACCUCCUCUGCUCUGCCAUUCCUGCUCUUUGCAAUGCAUGCCAUGCCCUCCCGCUAAGGACUGGCUUUGCUUCGGUCUUUCAGGCACUUGCCACAGUUUCAUGAAGUUGGUGAGAUGCAAAGCAUUACGCAGAUAGGGAGAUGGUUUCUCUUCCACGUGUGUUUCUCAACAACAUCCAAACACAGGGGCUCUGUCGGGACUUCCAAGUCAGAGGGGCCAUUCCUGCACAAGGGAUAGCUCUUCAAAGACUUAAGAGAUGGGAGAUGGCCCCAAAACGGCUCAGUUAAUGCCCUCUGCCCACUGCCCUUUCAAAGCCUAAGUAGUAUAUGCUAUCAUCCAUCGGUCAAGAGUGUGCCAGGGCGCCCCUCUUCCACUGGCCUUACCCCUGGGAACCAAGUAUUCCCAGGUAUGAACAUGUUACUUCAGUUUGCCUGCUGUUCUAAACAAAAGCCAGGCCUACCGGUUGUGUCAUUUUGUGUGUCUCAGAGUUCUGAAAUGUCAGUUCUCCCUGACAUAGGCUGUUGAAAAUUUAGAGCAAUCUUCAGUUGCACGUGUAACACAUCUUUUCGGUUCCUUUUGGGUUACUCGCUUUUAGAAUGAUUAGCUUUCCUCCCCCGAAGUUAGGUGAGAUGGCAUUAUUAGCCUUUUUUGUUUUGUAAGGGCCACACCCACCGGCACAGGGACAUUCCCAGGCUAGGGGCUGAAUGGGAGCUGUAGCCGCCGGCCUACACCACAGAAGCAGCAAGGCCGGUACCAGCCACCCCUGCGAACCACACACCACAGCCCAUGGCCACGCCAGAGCCUUAACCUCCUGAGCGAGGGCCGGGAUGGAACCUGUGUCCUCCUGGAUACUCGUCCGAUUCACUUCCACUGAGCCAUGACGGGAACUCCCAGGAAAGCCUCGAGUCACAUCAAAGAAAAGAGAGAGAACAAGAGCAUGGCUUUCUGGCACCUUGCUCAUUCAAUCAUGCCAUUCGUUUCCCUCCACCAACGCAUUUUUGAAAACUGCAUUUCCCCGAAAUGCACGAGUCAGUCUCAACAUCGAUUUGAUUCCAUUUCUCUGCGCUUCGAGUAGAAAAAUGAUCUGUCGCUGAGAACGUCCUUACGACCAUGUCAGCUGACAAGAAUGGAAAGCGUAGGAUUAGAGCCUUGUCGCCCAGGUCUUUGCCUUUCUGCAGGAGACGACACCUUCAGAGGUAACUUUGAAAGCCCUCUUGACAACUACAUUAAGUGUAGCAUCGCUGUGUGACAUGCAAAGCAUUAGACACCAUCACACUUGCAAAAGCCAGUACCCAGACAUACGUCAUCCACUUGCUCAGGCACUGUGGCAUCUUCGGAAAAGGCUUUUUCGGGAGUGACACGUGUGUUUCACACGAACUACGAAAGCAGUGCUUUCACUGGAAGACAACUUGUUUAAUCUGGCAUCAUCCGAAGCAUUUGCCAAACUGAGAGAUUUAACUUUGAUCCAUGACCAAGAUAGCAAUUGUUGUCAUUUUUUUUUUUUUCUCUUUAAGGUGGCACCCACAGCAUUUGGAAGUUCAGGUCCAGUGACUGAAUCUGAGCCGCAGCUAUAACCGACACCACUGCUGGGGCAACGCCACAUCCUUGAACUCAUUGUGUCCAGCCAGAGCUCAAACCCGCACCUCCACUGCAACACGAGCCACUGAAGUGAGGUUCCUAACCCACCGUACCACAGUGGGAACUCCUGAAAUAACAUGACUUCAUUUUAUUAGAUAUGUCUUCUGAGUCAGAAACUCCAUGCCUGGCAUUUGUCCUCUUCUUUUUACUAUCUGUUGUGGUUUCCUUAACAUUUACAUGACUCUCUGUAAAUUCACUUUUCAGGAGAACUUCAGGAUGAAAACGCCAGUCUUCGGAAAACAAAUGGUAACAUUUCUGAUAUCCCAUCACCCCAGUGCUCUUGAGCCCCUCUGAAGCGACUGGUUCAGCCUUUCCUCUUGUCUGCCGUUUCAUCUGUUUCGCUUGUGUCGGCAUGCCUUUCUCUUGCACGUCCUGUCUACGAGCUCCACCUCAAUGUUUUGCGUGGGACUUGUCCCACGUUCCUUCUGUCCAUUUCUGUUUGCCUACCUCCUCUGCUCUGCCAUUCCUGCUCUUUGCAAUGCAUGCCAUGCCCUCCCGCUAAGGACUGGCUUUGCUUCGGUCUUUCAGGCACUUGCCACAGUUUCAUGAAGUUGGUGAGAUGCAAAGCAUUACGCAGAUAGGGAGAUGGUUUCUCUUCCACGUGUGUUUCUCAACAACAUCCAAACACAGGGGCUCUGUCGGGACUUCCAAGUCAGAGGGGCCAUUCCUGCACAAGGGAUAGCUCUUCAAAGACUUAAGAGAUGGGAGAUGGCCCCAAAACGGCUCAGUUAAUGCCCUCUGCCCACUGCCCUUUCAAAGCCUAAGUAGUAUAUGCUAUCAUCCAUCGGUCAAGAGUGUGCCAGGGCGCCCCUCUUCCACUGGCCUUACCCCUGGGAACCAAGUAUUCCCAGGUAUGAACAUGUUACUUCAGUUUGCCUGCUGUUCUAAACAAAAGCCAGGCCUACCGGUUGUGUCAUUUUGUGUGUCUCAGAGUUCUGAAAUGUCAGUUCUCCCUGACAUAGGCUGUUGAAAAUUUAGAGCAAUCUUCAGUUGCACGUGUAACACAUCUUUUCGGUUCCUUUUGGGUUACUCGCUUUUAGAAUGAUUAGCUUUCCUCCCCCGAAGUUAGGUGAGAUGGCAUUAUUAGCCUUUUUUGUUUUGUAAGGGCCACACCCACCGGCACAGGGACAUUCCCAGGCUAGGGGCUGAAUGGGAGCUGUAGCCGCCGGCCUACACCACAGAAGCAGCAAGGCCGGUACCAGCCACCCCUGCGAACCACACACCACAGCCCAUGGCCACGCCAGAGCCUUAACCUCCUGAGCGAGGGCCGGGAUGGAACCUGUGUCCUCCUGGAUACUCGUCCGAUUCACUUCCACUGAGCCAUGACGGGAACUCCCAGGAAAGCCUCGAGUCACAUCAAAGAAAAGAGAGAGAACAAGAGCAUGGCUUUCUGGCACCUUGCUCAUUCAAUCAUGCCAUUCGUUUCCCUCCACCAACGCAUUUUUGAAAACUGCAUUUCCCCGAAAUGCACGAGUCAGUCUCAACAUCGAUUUGAUUCCAUUUCUCUGCGCUUCGAGUAGAAAAAUGAUCUGUCGCUGAGAACGUCCUUACGACCAUGUCAGCUGACAAGAAUGGAAAGCGUAGGAUUAGAGCCUUGUCGCCCAGGUCUUUGCCUUUCUGCAGGAGACGACACCUUCAGAGGUAACUUUGAAAGCCCUCUUGACAACUACAUUAAGUGUAGCAUCGCUGUGUGACAUGCAAAGCAUUAGACACCAUCACACUUGCAAAAGCCAGUACCCAGACAUACGUCAUCCACUUGCUCAGGCACUGUGGCAUCUUCGGAAAAGGCUUUUUCGGGAGUGACACGUGUGUUUCACACGAACUACGAAAGCAGUGCUUUCACUGGAAGACAACUUGUUUAAUCUGGCAUCAUCCGAAGCAUUUGCCAAACUGAGAGAUUUAACUUUGAUCCAUGACCAAGAUAGCAAUUGUUGUCAUUUUUUUUUUUUUUCUCUUUAAGGUGGCACCCACAGCAUUUGGAAGUUCAGGUCCAGUGACUGAAUCUGAGCCGCAGCUAUAACCGACACCACUGCUGGGGCAACGCCACAUCCUUGAACUCAUUGUGUCCAGCCAGAGCUCAAACCCGCACCUCCACUGCAACACGAGCCACUGAAGUGAGGUUCCUAACCCACCGUACCACAGUGGGAACUCCUGAAAUAACAUGACUUCAUUUUAUUAGAUAUGUCUUCUGAGUCAGAAACUCCAUGCCUGGCAUUUGUCCUCUUCUUUUUACUAUCUGUUGUGGUUUCCUUAACAUUUACAUGACUCUCUGUAAAUUCACUUUUCAGGAGAACUUCAGGAUGAAAACGCCAGUCUUCGGAAAACAAAUGGUAACAUUUCUGAUAUCCCAUCACCCCAGUGCUCUUGAGCCCCUCUGAAGCGACUGGUUCAGCCUUUCCUCUUGUCUGCCGUUUCAUCUGUUUCGCUUGUGUCGGCAUGCCUUUCUCUUGCACGUCCUGUCUACGAGCUCCACCUCAAUGUUUUGCGUGGGACUUGUCCCACGUUCCUUCUGUCCAUUUCUGUUUGCCUACCUCCUCUGCUCUGCCAUUCCUGCUCUUUGCAAUGCAUGCCAUGCCCUCCCGCUAAGGACUGGCUUUGCUUCGGUCUUUCAGGCACUUGCCACAGUUUCAUGAAGUUGGUGAGAUGCAAAGCAUUACGCAGAUAGGGAGAUGGUUUCUCUUCCACGUGUGUUUCUCAACAACAUCCAAACACAGGGGCUCUGUCGGGACUUCCAAGUCAGAGGGGCCAUUCCUGCACAAGGGAUAGCUCUUCAAAGACUUAAGAGAUGGGAGAUGGCCCCAAAACGGCUCAGUUAAUGCCCUCUGCCCACUGCCCUUUCAAAGCCUAAGUAGUAUAUGCUAUCAUCCAUCGGUCAAGAGUGUGCCAGGGCGCCCCUCUUCCACUGGCCUUACCCCUGGGAACCAAGUAUUCCCAGGUAUGAACAUGUUACUUCAGUUUGCCUGCUGUUCUAAACAAAAGCCAGGCCUACCGGUUGUGUCAUUUUGUGUGUCUCAGAGUUCUGAAAUGUCAGUUCUCCCUGACAUAGGCUGUUGAAAAUUUAGAGCAAUCUUCAGUUGCACGUGUAACACAUCUUUUCGGUUCCUUUUGGGUUACUCGCUUUUAGAAUGAUUAGCUUUCCUCCCCCGAAGUUAGGUGAGAUGGCAUUAUUAGCCUUUUUUGUUUUGUAAGGGCCACACCCACCGGCACAGGGACAUUCCCAGGCUAGGGGCUGAAUGGGAGCUGUAGCCGCCGGCCUACACCACAGAAGCAGCAAGGCCGGUACCAGCCACCCCUGCGAACCACACACCACAGCCCAUGGCCACGCCAGAGCCUUAACCUCCUGAGCGAGGGCCGGGAUGGAACCUGUGUCCUCCUGGAUACUCGUCCGAUUCACUUCCACUGAGCCAUGACGGGAACUCCCAGGAAAGCCUCGAGUCACAUCAAAGAAAAGAGAGAGAACAAGAGCAUGGCUUUCUGGCACCUUGCUCAUUCAAUCAUGCCAUUCGUUUCCCUCCACCAACGCAUUUUUGAAAACUGCAUUUCCCCGAAAUGCACGAGUCAGUCUCAACAUCGAUUUGAUUCCAUUUCUCUGCGCUUCGAGUAGAAAAAUGAUCUGUCGCUGAGAACGUCCUUACGACCAUGUCAGCUGACAAGAAUGGAAAGCGUAGGAUUAGAGCCUUGUCGCCCAGGUCUUUGCCUUUCUGCAGGAGACGACACCUUCAGAGGUAACUUUGAAAGCCCUCUUGACAACUACAUUAAGUGUAGCAUCGCUGUGUGACAUGCAAAGCAUUAGACACCAUCACACUUGCAAAAGCCAGUACCCAGACAUACGUCAUCCACUUGCUCAGGCACUGUGGCAUCUUCGGAAAAGGCUUUUUCGGGAGUGACACGUGUGUUUCACACGAACUACGAAAGCAGUGCUUUCACUGGAAGACAACUUGUUUAAUCUGGCAUCAUCCGAAGCAUUUGCCAAACUGAGAGAUUUAACUUUGAUCCAUGACCAAGAUAGCAAUUGUUGUCAUUUUUUUUUUUUUUCUCUUUAAGGUGGCACCCACAGCAUUUGGAAGUUCAGGUCCAGUGACUGAAUCUGAGCCGCAGCUAUAACCGACACCACUGCUGGGGCAACGCCACAUCCUUGAACUCAUUGUGUCCAGCCAGAGCUCAAACCCGCACCUCCACUGCAACACGAGCCACUGAAGUGAGGUUCCUAACCCACCGUACCACAGUGGGAACUCCUGAAAUAACAUGACUUCAUUUUAUUAGAUAUGUCUUCUGAGUCAGAAACUCCAUGCCUGGCAUUUGUCCUCUUCUUUUUACUAUCUGUUGUGGUUUCCUUAACAUUUACAUGACUCUUGUAAAUUCACUUUUCAGGAGAACUUCAGGAUGAAAACGGUAACUUAUUUCUGAAUUUUUCUUUUCUUUUUUUUUUCUGCUUUGGAGGGGUGGAUAUAUUUCCUAGGAAUAGUUAUUCUCUCUUGACUUUCCUUCCUUUGCUAUUGCUUCAAGUCACUGUCUUCCAGGCACUUACCACCCUCUCAUUACGAGGUUUGUUAAAUGAAGAGAAUCAGGCUGAGAAGAAUGCUCUUUGCUCCAUUCCACAGGAAGCUUUCUUUUCCUGGGCCCUCCACCACGACAUCUAGAUGCAGUGCUCGCUGUGUUGUAUUUGACAUUGUCCCGGUUGUUACUGGAAUGGUUCCGAUUCCAACCCUGGUUGCAGGGAUGAGUUUCUCCUUUGAUUGCUCACACUCUGUCGACUGCCGAUGCCCUGCAGAAGUUAUCCUAAGACAGGCCAGUUCACGUCUGCCGAUCACACUCUCAAGGGACCCAGUGUAUAUGGAUAUCGUUGCCUGACUUGUCCUGGUUAUGUUCAGUUUACAACCACAGUUCUUACUCUUCAUUCAUUUUUAUUUUACCUAUUUCUUUAUUAUCUCACCAAGUUGACCGCCCUCUGGCAUCUUUGUGUGCACUUUUUCCCCUCAAGAAAUCACACUGAUCAUACAUAGCUGAAGUCCAAAGUUGUGUUCUGAGAUGAUGCCACACCUCUCUGUAAUACCCUAACACAAGAAAUAUUUUCAAUCUUCAUAAGCCUGUAUGUGACAAAGUAUUCUGGAAAGGGUGGUGGUGCUCUCAAUGGAACAGAGUUUAGGGAUCUGCCUCUUUAACUCAGGAGUGGACGUGACUUGAAAACGCUCCAGAAGCACUCAUUCGGAGAUGCGGCGCUCUGGUCACGCCUUCUUCAUAAAGUUCAGAAAACCUGUCUCAUACAUGCACGUUCAGAUAUUUCCUCUCAGAUGGGAGGGAGGAUGCACAGUAAGCAUGGGGUGAGAAACAGUUUCUCUCAGGGAAACUUUCUCUCUCCUGGAUUCAGCACCCAUGUGCUUUGGUUCAGAAAAGCUGCACUUCUGCAUGAAGUAAAACACACACUCAAAUACAACAAGGUUGCCAUUUAAUCAGUAGCAACAAGGUUGCCCAUUUAAUCAGUAGCAGUCUCGUUGUGAAAAGAGGCACCCGGAAACCUGACCGUGGAUCCCCUACCCCAACAGGGUCUCGGUAUAACCUCACACAGGGUUUGUGGCAACUUGACACAAGGUAGCGCCCCCGACCACCAGCAUGAGAACGGACUUCCACAUGCACAGCCAGCCCAUGGCCAUGCUAAAGCGCACAAGCAGAACAACAGGACCCUAAAUAUGGUCAAAGGGAUCAAGACUGCUUUUGCGAACUAAACCCCAGAACGAAUCGUUCUCGUUUUCUUCAGCUCAUCGAAAUUAACUCCAUUUCCCCUCUGUUCCUUUACUGUAGACGAUCUCGGAACACUGCAGUCCUCUGAGCCGAUGUGUGUGCGGGUGGCUGUGGGGGUGGCUGUGGUUGUCCCUUGAAACCGCAGAGGGUUCAUUUUAAAUAGGAAGUUUCAAUAGAUCUGAAUUCUCCCUCUA